UACGGGGGGGGCAAGCGUUGUUCGGAAUUACUGGGCGUAAAGGGCUCGUAGGUGGCCAACUAAGUCAUACGUGAAAUCCCUCGGCUUAACCGGGGAACUGCGUCUGAUACUGGAUGGCUUGAGGUUGGGAGAGGGAUGCGGAAUUCCAGGUGUAGCGGUGAAAUGCGUAGAUAUCUGGAGGAACACCGGUGGCGAAGGCGGCAUCCUGGACCAAUUCUGACACUGAGACACGACGGCGUGGGGAGCAAACGGG
rnacentral:rRNA from 1 species